rnacentral:rRNA from 1 species
UGCGUAGGCGGAUUAAUAAGUCAGUGGUGAAAUCUUUCGGCUCAACCGAGAAACUGCCAUUGAUACUGUUAAUCUUGAGUUCGGUUGAGGUAGGCGGAAUGUGUAAUGUAGCGGUGAAAUGCUUAGAUAUUACACAGAACAUCAAUUGCGUAGGCAGCUUACUAGACCGACACUGACGCUGAGGCACGAAAGCGUGGGGAGCGAACAGGAUUAGAUACCCUGGUAGUCC